ACUCCUACGGGAGGCAGCAGUGGGGAAUAUUGCACAAUGGGCGCAAGCCUGAUGCAGCAACGCCGUGUGAGUGAAGAAGGUUUUCGGAUCGUAAAACUCUGUCCUAAGGGAAGAAACAAAUGACGGUACCUUAGGAGGAAGCCCCGGCUAACUACGUGCCAGCAGCCGCGGUAAUACGUAGGGGCAAGCGUUAUCCGGAAUCACUGGGGCGUAAAGGGUGCGUAGGCGGCUUAGCAAGCCAGGGGUGAAAGGCAUUGGCUCAACCAAUGUAAGCCUUUGGAACUGUUAAGCUUGAGUGCAGGAGAGGUAAGUGGAAUUCCUAGUGUAGAGGUGAAAUUCGUAGAUAUUAGGAGGAACACCAGUGGCGAAGGCGACUUACUGGACUGUAACUGACGCUGAUGCACGAAAGCGUGGGUAGCGAACAGGAUUAGAUACCCUGGUAGCGACUGA
rnacentral:rRNA from 1 species